CACAGCUCGAGUGCUCAACUACAACUAAAGCACGGGCGCAACCAAACCGAAAGCCACACCUCAACCACCGCUGCCUCUGCCUGCAUGGUGCUACAACGGCCCAGAUCUCGCCACGCGCCCGUCGUCCUCCACCUUGGCCGCCCACUCCGCCGCUCGCCUCCCCGACGCAAACCGCCGCACACCUCCCAGCCCCGGCGGUGGCGCCGUCGCCUCCUCCGCGGACCUCGCCGCUGCAGCCUCCUCGGGCGGCGGCGGGGACUGGUCGACGCACUCGACGGCGCUGUGCCUGGACCGGCUCCGGCUGCGCUGCAUGAAGAAGCCGCAGCACCCAGGCGCCCCGGAGCCGCGGCCGACGCCGAGGCGCGCGCGCGCUCGCUCGUGGUCCGAGAGGACCUUCCCGAUGCAGGACACCUUGGGCGACCCGGGGUCCGGGACGGCCGCCUUGGACGCGCGCCCGCCGCCGGGCCUGGCCUUCCCAGGAAACAUGGCGGGCGGGCGGUGGCGGUGCCCCCGCGCGCACGCGCCGAGCUUCCCGGAAAGCCCGAUGAUGGGCGCCGCCGUGGGCUUCAGGUUGCCCGAGAACCUCUGCGAGGACCCGGCGGCGCCGGGGUGCUGGCUCUUGAGGACGCACUUGGGGUUGGUGUUCUCCUUGAGCGAGUCGUCGCGGUCGUACACGCCGUUGAUCUCCGACCACGCGAUGUCGUCUCCGAGGCGCAGCUGCGUCGACUCCGGCGGGUCGCCACCGAGGUGGUCUCGCGAGGCGCGCGCACGCGAUGGAGGAGUUCGGAGUUUUGCACGCGCCUGCGCCUUGCCUCCGUUUUCCGUUUUCCAGCGUGCGCAACGCAUGGUUUAAAGGGGUUUCUGCGUGGUUGACUCUUUGGGGUCAUAAUAGUAGCAGUAGAGACACUAGCAAAAAUGUAAGUAUAGUUUAACAUCACAACCUUGAGAUUAACGGCUGCGUUAGUACAGUAUAGUUUAGCUGCUGAGUGCUGCCGUCUGCGUCUGAAUUCCCGCGGAUUCUUUUUGGAACUUGGUGUCAGUCCGUGUCCUUCUACAGCAGUGCAAUUGGAG
rnacentral:misc_RNA from 1 species